UCCCUGGUGGCUCAGUGGUAAAGAAUCUGCCUGCCAAUGCAGAAGACACAGGUUCAAUCCCUGGUCUGGGAA
rnacentral:tRNA from 1 species